AGAAAUAAAGAGUAGGCAUCACAGACAGGGUAUAAGAUAACAUUUUGUGCGAAAAAUAAAUAGUGUGAGCGAUAUUGCAGUGAGGUGGAAUAUCAAAAGAGGGUUAUUUCUUUUGAUGUUUUAGUGCUCUUUGUAGUAUUUUAUUCGGGCCUAGAAAGUGUAAAAUUCCUUACUAUAGUGAUAUUAGUUACUCCUCUCGGGAUCGUGAUUUUUUUUUCUUAUUUUCCACGUAAAAAUCUUGGUGUCAUUGUCACUCUUUUAUUCUUGUUGAUUAACGUAUCUCACUGCUAUAUUAUUAUUCCGCUUUUAUUACCGUGAAUAUUAUUACUUUGGAGAUUUAUUCCCAACAAUUUACACAAAAGAAUGCGACUUAAACCCUUGACCUGAUCGUUGCGUGAACGCCUUUUAGAUUGUUCUUUCAAUACUGAAGAUAAUCUAGAUGCAUUUUCUAAUCUAUGCAAUGAAUGAUUCAAACUUUUGCCCAAACAGCAAAAAAGAAAGCUAUUAGGAUGUUUUGUAUGGAAUUUGGAGGCUAUAUUAGAUGUCAAACAAGUAGUAGCGCUAUGUUUGCUAGCCGGCAUUAACAGUUCACUGUAUUGACAAAUGACGAUACAUCAAAUUCCGUUCUAUCCAACAUUAAGACAAUAUUAAUAAUAUGAG
rnacentral:lncRNA from 1 species